UAUCCUACGGGAGGCAGCAGUGGGGAAUAUUGCACAAUGGGGGGAACCCUGAUGCAGCGACGCCGCGUGAGUGAAGAAGUAUUUCGGUAUGUAAAGCUCUAUCAGCAGGGAAGAAAAUGACGGUACCUGACUAAGAAGCCCCGGCUAACUACGUGCCAGCAGCCGCGGUAAUACGUAGGGGGCAAGCGUUAUCCGGAUUUACUGGGUGUAAAGGGAGCGUAGACGGCGAUGCAAGUCAGAAGUGAAAGCCCGCGGCUCAACUUCGGGGCUGCUUUUGAAA
rnacentral:rRNA from 1 species